rnacentral:rRNA from 1 species
CCAAGGAGUCUAACAUGUGCGCGAGUCAUGGGGUUGUACGAAACCUAAAGGCGCAAUGAAAGUGAAGGCUACCGUUGGGCAGCCCAGGUGGGAUCCCUUUCCUUAGCCGGGAGGGGCGCACCACCGGCCCGUCUCGAUCGCGUCGUCGAUGAGGCGGAGCAAGAGCGCACACGUUGGGACCCGAAAGAUGGUGAACUAUGCCUGAGUAGGAUGAAGCCAGAGGAAACUCUGGUGGAGGUCCGUAGCGAUUCUGACGUGCAAAUCGAUCGUCAAACUUGGGUAUAGGGGCGAAAGACUAAUCGAACCAUCUA